rnacentral:rRNA from 1 species
UACGGAGGGUGCAAGCAUUAAUCGGAAUUAUUGGGCGUAAAGGGCGCGUAGGCGGAUAGGCAAGUCAGAUGUGAAAUUUCGGAGCUCAACUUCGAAGCUGCAUUUGAAACUACCAAUCUGGAGGAUAGGCGGAGAAAACGGAAUUCCACGUGUAGCGGUGAAAUGCGUAGAGAUGUGGAAGAACACCUGUGGCGAAAGCGGUUUUCUAGCUUAGACCUGACGCUGAGGCGCGAAAGCAAGGGGAGCAAACAGG